UACGUAGGGUGCGAGCGUUGUCCGGAAUUACUGGGCGUAAAGAGCUCGUAGGUGGUUUGUCGCGUUGUCCGUGAAAACUCACAACUCAAUUGUGGGCGUGCGGGCGAUACGGCAGACUGGAGUACUGCAGGGAGACUGGAAUUUACGGUGUAGCGGUGAAAUGCGUAGAUAUCGUAAGGAAGACCAGUGGCGAAGGCGGGUCUCUGGACAGUUCCUGACGCUGAGGCACGAAGGUCAGGGGAGCAAACGGG
rnacentral:rRNA from 1 species